AGAACGAACGCUGGCGGCAGGCUUAACACAUGCAAGUCGAGCGCUGUAGCAAUACAGAGCGGCGCACGGGUGAGUAACACGUGGGAACAUGCCUUUCGGUUCGGAAUAACUCAGGGAAACUUGUGCUAAUACCGGAUACGCCCUUACGGGGAAAGAUUUAUUGCCGAAAGAGUGGCCCGCGUUGGAUUAGCUAGUUGGCGGGGUAAAAGCCCACCAAGGCGACGAUCCAUAGCUGGUCUGAGAGGACGACCAGCCACACUGGGACUGAGACACGGCCCAGACUCCUACGGGAGGCAGCAGUGGGGAAUCUUGGACAAUGGGGGAAACCCUGAUCCAGCCAUGCCGCGUGAGUGAUGAAGGCCCUAGGGUUGUAAACCCCUUUCAGCAGGGACGAAGCGAAAGUGACGGUACCUGCAGAAGAAGCGCCGGCUAACUACGUGCCAGCAGCCGC
rnacentral:rRNA from 1 species